CAAAAACAAUCAGAGGUACCUGGCUAACGUACAUUUCCCAGCUUCUUGCAGUUAGGCAAAGGCUGACCAAUGGAAUCAGGAUGUUGACAUCCUGGGCUCC